GUGCGGUAGAGAAGAGAAGGGAAGGGAAGGGAAGGAAAAGGAAGGGAAGGGAAAGGAAAGGAAGAAAGGGAUGGUAAGGAAAGGAAAGGAAGGGAAGGGAUGGUAAAGGAAGGGAAGGGAAGGGAAGGGAAGAUGAGUGGAGUCUAGUGAUUGGAAAGGAAGGGAAGAGAAGGGAAAGGUAGGGAAGGGAAGGGAAGGGAAAGGAAAGGGAAGGGAAGGAAAGAUAAGUGAAGUCUAAUGAGUGGAAAGGAAGGGAAGGAAAGGAAAGGGAGACUCGUAUACCAUAAGGGGAGGGGAGGAAGGGCAAACAGAAAGGAAGGGAAGGGAGGGGAAGGCUUGUGUAUCGUAGGGGAAGGGAAUGAAAGGUAAAUUGAAGUUAAGGGAAGUUAGGGACAGAUAACGAAGGGGAGAGAUGUGAAUGGAGAGAGGAGAGAAAGAGGAAAAAUGUUGUAUAGGAAAGGGAAGGAAAGGGAGGAAAAAAUGAAAGUAGAGUGAAGAAGAAAAUAAAUAGGGGAGGAAAAGAAAGGAGGAGAAAAUAAGUGGAGGCAGGAUGGAGGAAAAAAGGAAGGGGAGGAAAGGAAGAAGUGGAGAGAAAGAUGAAAUAUAGUGUAGGAGAGGGAGGAAACAAAGGGGUGGAAGGGAGGAGGAGAGAACAAGUGGAGGUAGGAUGGAGGAAAAUUGAGAGGGGGAGGAAAAGGAGGAAAGAGAAGGAGAGGGAGGAAAAAUGAAGUAGAGAAGGAAACAAAGGGGAGGAAAAGGAGGAGGAGGAGGAGGAGAGGACAAGUGGAGACAGGAUGGAGGAAAAUUGUGAGUGGGAGGAAAAGGAGGAGAAACAAGUGAGACGCAGUGUAGGAAAGAGAAGGAAAGGGGAGGAAAAAUGAAGUGGAGAAGGAAACAAAGGGGAGGAAAAGGAGGAGGAGGAGGGAACAAGUGGAGGAAAGUGCGAAGGAAUGGAGGAAAAUUUAGAGGGGGAGAAAGGAAAAAGUGGAGAGAAAGGGGAAAUAUAGUGUAGGAGAGGGAAGGAAAGGGAGGAAACAAAGGGGAGAAAAGGGAGGAGGAGAGAACAAGUGGAGGCAGGAUGGAGGGAAAGUGCGGAGGAAUGGAGGAAAAUUUAGAGGGGGAGAAAGGAAAAAGUGGAGAGAAAGGGGAAAUAUAGUGUAGGAGAGGGAAGGAAAGGGAGGAAACAAAGGGGAGGAAAGGGAGGAGGAGAGAACAUGUGGAGGCAGGAUGGAGGAAAAUUUAGAGGGGGAGAAAGGAAAAAGUGGAGAGAAAGGGGAAAUAUAGUGUAGGAGAGGGAAGGAAAGGGAGGAAACAAAGGGGAGGAAAGGGAGGAGGAGAGAAAACAUGUGGAGGCAGGUGGAGGAAAGUGUGGAGGUAUGGAGGAAGAAUGUAUAUGGUUACGUUCUCGGCAUGAAAAAAAAUAAUAGGAAAAAGAAAAUAUAGAAAAAGGUGGAGCGGCGGAAACAUGAAAAAAAUAGAGGGAAAAAAAGACGAACUGCACAAAAAAACUAGAAAAAACAAAAAAAAAAAAAUAGAAAAAACAUUAAUAACUAGAAAAAAAGAUUAAUAACUAGAAAAAACAAAGAGAAAUAAAAACUAGAAAAAACAAAAAAAUAGAAAAAACAUUAAUAACUAGAAAAAAAGAUUAAUAACCAGAAAAAACAAAAAGAAAUAAAAACUAGAAAAAACAAAAAAAAAUAGAAAAAAACAUUAAUAACUAGAAAAAACAAAGAGAAAUAAAAACUAGAAAAAAAAAUAGA